rnacentral:tRNA from 1 species
AUCGGGAAGCUCAGUCUGGCGGAGCAGCCGGCUCUUAACCGGCAGGUCGAGGGUUCGAAUCCCUCCGGGCCCGCUA